AUUGAACGCUGGCGGCAUGCCUUACACAUGCAAGUCGAACGGUAACAGGGAGCUUGCUCCGCUGACGAGUGGCGAACGGGUGAGUAAUAUAUCGGAACGUACCUUUGAGUGGGGGAUAACUAGUCGAAAGAUUAGCUAAUACCGCAUACGAUCUACGGAUGAAAGUGGGGGCUCGCAAGACCUCAUGCUCAUAGAGCGGCCGAUAUCUGAUUAGCUAGUUGGUGAGGUAAAGGCUCACCAAGGCAUCGAUCAGUAGCUGGUCUGAGAGGACGACCAGCCACACUGGGACUGAGACACGGCCCAGACUCCUACGGGAGGCAGCAGUGGGGAAUUUUGGACAAUGGGGGCAACCCUGAUCCAGCAAUGCCGCGUGAGUGAAGAAGGCCUUCGGGUUGUAAAGCUCUUUUGUCAGGGAAGAAACGGUGAGAGCUAAUAUCUCUUGCUAAUGACGGUACCUGAAGAAUAAGCACCSGCUAACUAC
rnacentral:rRNA from 1 species